AAUCCAAUUGGCCUGUACUCAAAAGUAUAAAAACUCUACAAAGGGAAGAACCAUGAUACUUUGCAACCACAGUUUGCUGUAAAAUGAGAGCUUUACUAUUCGUUACUAUUCUGUCAUUGGCAGUGUUGUUAGUGGUGGAGCAAUCAGAAUCUUCAGAGGAUUCGUCUGUGUGUCCAGAAAUAUUUUGUCCUAAUGACGAUCAAAUUUCCGACGAUUGCAGGCAGCCAAACUAUGUCAUUGGAGCAGACGCCAUAACAAAGUGCCGAGUAUGUGAUUCUGACAAAUGUCGAUGAGACUGACCGGAAUAAACAGAAAGAAGCAUUCCUUUUAAAUUUCUUAUGUAUUGAAAGAGUUGACUGAAAAUAAAAAGAAGAUAGAAAUA